UACGUGGGGGGCAAGCGUUGUUCGGAAUUACUGGGCGUAAAGGGCGCGUAGGCGGCCAACUAAGUCAGACGUGAAAUCCCUCGGCUUAACCGGGGAACUGCAUCUGAUACUGGAUGGCUUGAGUUCGGGAGAGGGAUGCGGAAUUCCAGGUGUAGCGGUGAAAUGCGUAGAUAUUGGGAAGAACACCGGUGGCGGAGGCGGCUAUCUGGCCCGUAAUUGACGCUGAGGCGCGAAAGCGUGGGGAGCAAACAGG
rnacentral:rRNA from 1 species